UCGAGUUAUGAGACCACCGAUUCACGGCCUGCGCUUGCCUCUCUCUGAGAAGCUGAGAAGGCAGUAAACCUCCAUCACUCUGCAGUAUUGAAAUCUCAGAUUAUUCAAGGUACUCCGGGCACAUUUAGCAUGGGGAUGGGGAGAGACUCUGCGGUGCUUUGAUAAACAAUGAACUUAAAAGGAAAGAAAGUGAGGUUUAUAGUUGACGCUGAGUCUGUCGUUCAGUCAGCCCAGCUUGGGCUCCAGACAUGUGAGUCAAGAAGCCAUCUUGAAAAUGGACUCUCCAGCCCUAGCUGUCCCCACCACCAGCCAUUCAGAUCGCUCCCCACUGCGUGAGUGGUCCCAGCUGAAGCCUCAGAUACUGCGGAGCAGAGAAGGCUGUCCCCUUUGUCCUUUCUGAAUUCCUGACCCAAAGAAUCCAUGUGCCUAAUAAAAUGGUUGUCGGGGCGCUUGGGUGGCUCAGUCCAUUAAGCGUCUGCCUUUGGCUCAAGUCAUGGUCCCGGGGUCCUGGGAGCAAGUUCCACAUCGGGCUCCCUGCUGAGUAGGGAGCCUGCUCUUUCCUCUGCCUGCUGUUCCCCCUGCU